rnacentral:rRNA from 4 species
UGGUGGGUAGUUUGACUGGGGCGGUCUCCUCCUAAAGAGUAACGGAGGAGCACGAAGGUUGGCUAAUCCUGGUCGGACAUCAGGAGGUUAGUGCAAUGGCAUAAGCCAGCUUGACUGCGAGCGUGACGGCGCGAGCAGGUGCGAAAGCAGGUCAUAGUGAUCCGGUGGUUCUGAAUGGAAGGGCCAUCGCUCAACGGAUAAAAGGUACUCCGGGGAUAACAGGCUGAUACCGCCCAAGAGUUCAUAUCGACGGCGGUGUUUGGCACCUCGAUGUCGGCUCAUCACAUCCUGGGGCUGAAGUAGGUCCCAAGGGUAUGGCUGUUCGCCAUUUAAAGUGGUACGCGAGCUGGGUUUAGAACGUCGUGAGACAGUUCGGUCCCUAUCUGCCGUGGGCGCUGGAGAACUGAGGGGGGCUGCUCCUAGUACGAGAGGACCGGAGUGGACGCAUCACUGGUGUUCGGGUUGUCAUGCCAAU